UGCAGCCGGGCUGUAUAAAGAAAAAAAAGGUGAGAAAAAGAGAAAUAAAAGAAAAAUAAUUUUAAUUUAAAUUGCAGAGAAAUGUAAUGGCGUGGAGUGGAUUGUUGUUGCUGAGAGUUAUUGGUGUGAAGGUGAGUAUGUAAGUAGUGAUUUGGUAGAAUUUAUUGAGUGCGAGAAUAGGUAGAAAUAAUGUGUUUGAUUGUGUUCUUGCAGGUUGGAAAUGUAAGUAAAGUGGGUGGAGACGAGAUUGUGGGACAGUGAUGGAUGCAGGGAGCGGCAAUAAUUCUUAGCAGAGGAGGGCAAUUGCUGUGGCUGCAGUGGCAGAGGGCAGAACAGAUUUGGCGUGAAUGCAGGGAAAAUGGCCAAUAAGGCAGAUGCAGGCAGUGAGUGGUGAGUGUGGAUGGUCAGUUCAUUGGAGCUUGUUUGGAAAGCGUCUGUGCCUGAAGGCAGGUAGCAGUGUAAGAGAAAGCAGUGUCGUCAAGUGGAUUCAAAAUGCGCAAUUUAUUGUUGAAGUAAUGGUAAGUUUAGAGUAUUGGUGUGUAGGCAUUUAUGGUGAAUGUGUUUGUUUUAAUACUUUGAAGUUAACUUCUAAUUGGAUUUGAUUGUAUAAUAUGCAUUUAU